rnacentral:rRNA from 1 species
AUUGAACGCUGGCGGCAUGCUUUACACAUGCAAGUCGAACGGUAACAGGUUAAGCUGACGAGUGGCGAACGGGUGAGUAAUGCAUCGGAACGUGCCCGGUCGUGGGGGAUAACGCAGAGAAAGCUGCGCUAAUACCGCAUACGAUCUGAGGAUGAAAGCGGGGGACCGUAAGGCCUCGCGCGAUCGGAGCGGCCGAUGUCAGAUUAGGUAGUUGGUGGGGUAAAGGCUCACCAAGCCAACGAUCUGUAGCUGGUCUGAGAGGACGACCAGCCACACUGGGACUGAGACACGGCCCAGACUCCUACGGGAGGCAGCAGUGGGGAAUUUUGGACAAUGGGCGAAAGCCUGAUCCAGCAAUGCCGCGUGCAGGAAGAAGGCCUUCGGGUUGUAAACUGCUUUUGUACGGAGCGAAAAGGCUCUCUCUAAUACAGGGGGCUCAUGACGGUACCGUAAGAAUAAGCACCGGCUAACUACGUGCCAGCAGCCGCGGUAA